UACGUAGGGGGCUAGCGUUGUCCGGAAUCAUUGGGCGUAAAGCGCGUGUAGGCGGUCCGGUAAGUCCGCUGUGAAAGUCGGGGGCUCAACCCUCGGAUGCCGGUGGAUACUGUCGGGCUUGAGUACGGAAGAGGCGAGUGGAAUUCCUGGUGUAGCGGUGAAAUGCGCAGAUAUCAGGAGGAACACCAAUUGCGAAGGCAGCUCGCUGGGACGUUACUGACGCUGAGACGCGAAAGCUAGGGGAGCAAACGGG
rnacentral:rRNA from 1 species